CAGUAGCCACGGUAAUACGUAGGUGGCAAGCGUUGUCCGGAAUUAUUGGGCGUAAAGCGCGCGCAGGCGGUUUCUUAAGUCUGAUGUGAAAGCCCCCGGCUUAACCGGGAAGGGUCAUUGGAAACUGGGAGACUUAGAGUGCAGAAGAGGAGAGUGGAAUUCCAUGUGUAGCGGUGAAAUGCGUAGAUAUAUGGAGGAACACCAGUGGCGAAAGCGGCUCUCUGGCUCGUAACUGACGCUGAGGCUCGAAAGCGUGGGGAGCAAACAGGAUUAGAUACCCGGGUAGUCCCUGUCUCUUAUA
rnacentral:rRNA from 1 species